rnacentral:rRNA from 1 species
CCUCCGUACGGGACGGCAGCAAGGUAAGGAAUAGUUGGUACAAGUGGGACGGAAAGUCCUGAACCAGCCGAUCGCCGCGUGGAGGAUGAAGGUCCUCUGGAUUGUAAACUUCCUUUUUAGUUUGGGAAGAAACCCUACGAUUUCUAUUGUGGUUGACGGGUACCAGGAUGAAUAAGCACCGGCUAACUCCGUGCCAGCAGCCGCGGUAAUAC